UUCUGGCUGACAGUUUGAGGGGAUC
rnacentral:misc_RNA from 1 species